UACAGAGGGUGCAAGCGUUAUUCGGAAUUAUUGGGCAUAAAGCGCAUGUAGGUGGUUUGGUUAGUUUGAUGUGAAAGCCCCGGACUCAAUUCGGGAAGUGCAUUGAAUACUGCCAGGCUAGAGUAUGGGAGAGGUGAGCGGAAUUCCAGGUGUAGAGGUGAAAUUCGUAGAUAUCUGGAGGAACAACAGUGGCGAAGGCGGCUCACUGGACCAUUACUGACACUGAGAUGCGAAAGCGUGGGGAGCAAACAGG
rnacentral:rRNA from 1 species